UACGGGAGGUAGCAGUGGGGGAAUAUUGCACAAUGGGCGCAAGCCUGAUGCAGCCAUGCCGCGUGUAUGAAGAAGGCCUUCGGGUUGUAAAGUACUUUCAGUCGUGAGGAAGGUGUUAAGGUUAAUAACCUUAGCAAUUGACGUUAGCGACAGAAGAAGCACCGGCUAACUCCGUGCCAGCAGCCGCGGUAAUACGGAGGGUGCGAGCGUUAAUCGGAAUUACUGGGCGUAAAGGGCACGCAGGCGGUUAAUUAAGUUGGAUGUGAAAUCCCCGGGCUUAACCUGGGAAUGGCAUUCAAGACUGGUUAGCUAGAGUCUUGUAGAGGGGGUAGAAUUCCAUGUGUAGCGGUGAAAUGCGUAGAGAUGUGGAGGAAUACCGGUGGCGAAGGCGGGCCCCUGGGACAAAGACUGACGCUCAUGUGCGAAAGCGUGGGGAGCAAACAGGGAUUAGAUACC
rnacentral:rRNA from 1 species